CUUGUCUUUGAAAUUAUGGGUAGUCAGAAAGCUUUACCAAGAACUCUUAUCUUCGAACUGCGGGAGCCCCCAGGGGGUCUAAAUUAAUUCCGUUAUAGUAGCAGUGGAAUAUACUUUACAAAAAGUCAAAAUUAUAUAAAGAACUCGACCUCCAGUUCCAGAGACAAUACGCUAACGUGCGCAUCUCACUCUCCGCGUCAAAUCCAUUAACGUCACCCGUAUCACUGCUUCUUUUACUCAGAGAAAAAGGCAUUGUGGAUAUCUGCGCCAGAGCUGACUGAUUGAGAGAAACAAUAUUGAGUGUUACUAACAUUGUUUUGCUAGUAAUUUGCUUGCGUUUAUAUUCGCUUUUUAAUUGGCGCUGAGAUUUU